rnacentral:rRNA from 1 species
AGUCUGAUGGAGCAACGCCGCGUGAGUGAAGAAGGUUUUCGGAUCGUAAAGCUCUGUUGUUGGUGAAGAAGGAUAGAGGUAGUAACUGGCCUUUAUUUGACGGUAAUCAACCAGAAAGUCACGGCUAACUACGUGCCAGCAGCCGCGGUAAUACGUAGGUGGCAAGCGUUGUCCGGAUUUAUUGGGCGUAAAGCGAGCGCAGGCGGAAAAAUAAGUCUAAUGUGAAAGCCCUCGGCUUAACCGAGGAAUUGCAUCGGAAACUGUUUUUCUUGAGUGCAGAAGAGGAGAGUGGAACUCCAUGUGUAGCGGUGGAAUGCGUAGAUAUAUGGAAGAACACCAGUGGCGAAGGCGGCUCUCUGGUCUGCAACUGACGCUGAGGCUCGAAAGCAUGGGUAGCGAACAGGAUUAGAUACCCUGGUAGUCCAUGCCGUAAACGAUGAGUGCUAAGUGUUGGGAGGUUUCCGCCUCUCAGUGCUGCAGCUAACGCAUUAAGCACUCCGCCUGGGGAGUACGACCGCAAGGUUGAAACUCAAAGGAAUUGACGGGGGCCCGCACAAGCGGUGGAGCAUGUGGUUUAAUUCUAAGCAACGCGAAGAACCUUACCAGGUCUUGACAUCUAGCGCCAAUCGUAGAGAUACGAUGUUCCCUUCGGGGACGCUAAGACAGGUGGUGCAUGGCUGUCGUCAGCUCGUGUCGUGAGAUGUUGGGGUUAAGUUCCGCAACGAG